GUAGGUGGCAAGCGUUGUCCGGAUUUACUGGGCGUAAAGCGCGCGCAGGCGGCUCAUCAAGUCUGGGGUGAAAUCUCCCGGCUCAACCGGGAGAGGUCUCUGGAUACUGGUGGGCUUGAGGAGAGCAGAGGAGAGCGGAAUUCCAGGUGUAGCGGUGAUAUGCGUAGAUAUCUGGAGGAACACCAGUGGCGAAGGCGGCUCUCUGGGCUCUUUCUGACGCUGAGGCGCGAAAGCGUGGGGAGCGAACCGGAUUAGAUAACCGGGUAGUCCACGCCCGUAAACGUUGGGCACUAGGUGUGGGAGGUAUUGACCCCUUCCGUGCCGAAGUUAACGCGAUAAGUGCCCCCGCCUGGGAUACGGCCGCAAGGCUA
rnacentral:rRNA from 1 species